rnacentral:rRNA from 1 species
UGCAACAUGAAUACAUAGUGUUGCAAGGCGAACGAGGGGAAGUGAAACAUCUCAGUACCCUUAGGAAAAGAAAUCAAUUGAGAUUCCCUCAGUAGCGGCGAGCGAACGGGGAAAAGCCCAUUAAGUCAUAUAAGUUCUAGUGGAAUGCUCUGGGAAGUGCAACCAUAGUGGGUGAUAGUCCUGUACACGAAAGGGCUUAUAUGAUGAUGUCGAGUAGGGCGGGGCACGUGAAACCUUGUCUGAAUAUGGGGGGACCAUCCUCCAAGGCUAAAUACUCCUGACUGACCGAUAGUGAACCAGUACCGUGAGGGAAAGGCGAAAAGAACCCCUGUGAGGGGAGUGAAAUAGAACCUGAAACCGUGUACGUACAAGCAGUGGGAGCCCACUUUGUUGGGUGACUGCGUACCUUUUGUAUAAUGGGUCAGCGACUUACAUUCUGUAGCGAGGUUAACCGAAUAGGGGAGCCGUAGGGAAACCGAGUCUUAACUGGGCGUCUAGUUGCAAGGUGUAGACCCGAAACCGGGUGAUCUAUCCAUGAGCAGGUUGAAGGUUGGGUAACACUAACUGGAGGACCGAACCCACUGUCGUUGAAAAGCCAGGGGAUGACUUGUGGAUAGGGGUGAAAGGCUAAUCAAACUCGGUGAUAGCUGGUUCUCCCCGAAAGCUAUUUAGGUAGCGCCUCGGACGAAUACCAUUGGGGGUAGAGCACUGUUAAGGCUAGGGGGUCAUCCCGACUUACCAAACCGAUGCAAACUCCGAAUACCUACAAGUGCCGAGCAUGGGAGACACACGGCGG